rnacentral:rRNA from 1 species
UACGUAGGUGGCAAGCGUUAUCCGGAAUUAUUGGGCGUAAAGCGCGCGCAGGUGGUUUCUUAAGUCUGAUGUGAAAGCCCACGGCUCAACCGUGGAGGGUCAUUGGAAACUGGGAGACUUGAGUGCAGAAGAGGAAAGUGGAAUUCCAUGUGUAGCGGUGAAAUGCGUAGAGAUAUGGAGGAACACCAGUGGCGAAGGCGACUUUCUGGUCUGUAACUGACACUGAGGCGCGAAGGCCAGGGGAGCAAACGGG